rnacentral:rRNA from 1 species
CCUACGGGUGGCUGCAGUGGGGAAUAUUGGACAAUGGGCGAAAGCCUGAUCCAGCCAUGCCGCAUGUGUGAAGAAGGCCUUCGGGUUGUAAAGCACUUUCAGUGGGGAAGAAAGCCUUGGGGCUAAUACCCUCGAGGAAGGACAUCACCCACAGAAGAAGCACCGGCUAACUCCGUGCCAGCAGCCGCGGUAAUACGGAGGGUGCGAGCGUUAAUCGGAAUUACUGGGCGUAAAGCGCGCGUAGGCGGUCUGAUAAGCCGGUUGUGAAAGCCCCGGGCUCAACCUGGGAACGGCAUCCGGAACUGUCAGGCUAGAGUGCAGGAGAGGAAGGUAGAAUUCCCGGUGUAGCGGUGAAAUGCGUAGAGAUCGGGAGGAAUACCAGUGGCGAAGGCGGCCUUCUGGACUGACACUGACGCUGAGGUGCGAAAGCGUGGGUAGCAAACAGGAUUAGAUACCCCUGUAGUC